AUUGUUUAAUUUUUUACCAAACGAUUCAACUUAUUCGUUCUCAAAAGGUUUGAGUAUUCUCUUUCCCAGCAAUACUGUCGAGAGCGUUGCUGGCUAUGUUUGGCACUGUGCUGAGUUGAAGUCUGAAGGUGAUCGAAGCAGCUAGCGAGCAGUCAGCCGGCGCAGAAACGAUGACCUCAACGCAGCCUGAAGCUUCCAAAGGAAAAGAAAGGGCCCGUUGGACGGAAGCGGAGACGUUUACUUUGAUUAGGAUUUGGGAGGACCACAUCGGCGACUUGCGGCGGGCAAAGCGUAAUGCAAAGGUAUUUUUGAAAAGUUGCGAGCAGCCGGUAUUGAGAAGACGCUAAAAGAAAUAAAAAGCAAGAUCGAAAAUCUCGCAAAUAAGUACAGAGAGAUCAACAAAAACAAAAGGACCGGCUCGGGCUGCAUUCGGUGGCCCUUUUAUUGGGAACUACACAAAUUUCUGGAAACAUUGCCGAUCAACGACGCAACACUGGUGUGCGAAAGUGCAUGCAGUGACGACGCAACUGUUGAGCAGGUGAGAAAAACGCACAUCAAUGCGUCAAUGCAGAUAUUCACAGUAUAUUUGUAGCAUUGUCACAUGCAGUCUUGUAUAGUGCACACUCAAUUGCUGUACAUGCUUGAAGUUUACAGUGCAAGUUCUAGAGGCUUAUGCUUUGCCUGUAUAAUGUGUUACAGAUUCUCCGUCAAAUGGAGGUGGGCGACCCGGCAGCAGAUGAUCAGCCGGAGCCUCCUCCAGACAAGGACAUGUUGGAUGUGCCGCCGUCACCAUGUGCAGAAGAAAAUGCGCUCCCAGCACCAACGGCGCACAGCAACGAGGCGGAGGUACAAAAUGUGCAAGGCCAACUUGCGAGCUUAAAGAAAAAAACCCCGUCAGGCCAUGUUGCGAUUCUGCUGAAGCAGAUAAUUGAAGAGCACAAACAAAUGCGUUACGCAUUUGAAAGAUCAAAAGCGAGGGAACAUGAGCUGUGUUGGCGGCAACUGCUUCUUCAAGAAGAAUCUGGGAAGAGAGAACAGGAGUUGAUUUCUGUCCUAAGAUACAUUGGAAAGAAGUUGUAACCACAAUCUUUGUAAAUAAAGACAUGUUUCAACACUUAUGAUAUGGUUCCUUGCACCCACAGAACAGAUCAGACCAUGCAAUACUGCUAAAGCAGAUCACAAUGACGGACGACGACAAACGCGUUGCUCAUUACAAAGGUCUCGAGGCAGGGAGUACGAGCUGCGCAGGCGGCAACUACUCCUUCAAGAAGAGUUGGGCAGAAGAGAACAGGAGUUGAUUUCUUUACUGAGGGACAUUGGAAAAAAGUUGUCGCCACAAUCGUUCUGAAUACAGAACUGUUAUGUUGUGCUUCCUUGCACCGACAGAACAGAUCAGACCAUGCAAUACUGCUAAAGGAGAUCACAAUGACGGACGACGACAAACGCGUU